UACGUAGGUGACAAGCGUUGUCCGGAUUUACUGGACGUAAAGAGCGCGCAGGCGGUCGAUCAAGUCGAGUGUGAAAGCCCCCGGCUCAACUGGGGAGGGUCAUUCGAUACUGUUCGACUCGAAGGCAGGAGAGGGAAGUGGAAUUCCCGGUGUAGUGGUGAAAUGCGUAGAUAUCGGGAGGAACACCAGUGGCGAAGGCGACUUCCUGGCCUGUUCUUGACGCUGAGGCGCGAAAGCUAGGGGAGCAAACGGG
rnacentral:rRNA from 1 species